CAGUCGCCGCGGGAAAACGGAGGGUGCAAGCGUUAAUCGGAAUUACUGGGCGUAAAGCGCACGCAGGCGGUCUGUUAAGUCAGAUGUGAAAUCCCCGGGCUUAACCUGGGAACUGCAUUUGAAACUGGCAGGCUUGAGUCUUGUAGAGGGGGGUAGAAUUCCAGGUGUAGCGGUGAAAUGCGUAGAGAUCUGGAGGAAUACCGGUGGCGGAGGCGGCCCCCUGGACAAAGACUGACGCUCAGGUGCGAAAGCGUGGGGAGCAAACAGGAUUAGAUACCCCGGUAGUCCCUGUCUCUUAUAC
rnacentral:rRNA from 1 species